rnacentral:rRNA from 1 species
AGAGUUUGAUCCUGGCUCAGAUUGAACGCUGGCGGCAUGCCUUACACAUGCAAGUCGAACGGCAGCACGGGGGCAACCCUGGUGGCGAGUGGCGAACGGGUGAGUAAUAUAUCGGAACGUGCCCUGGAGUGGGGGAUAACUAGUCGAAAGAUUAGCUAAUACCGCAUACGAUCUACGGAUGAAAGUGGGGGACCCGCAAGGGCCUCAUGCUCCUGGAGCGGCCGAUAUCUGAUUAGCUAGUUGGUGAGGUAAAGGCUCACCAAGGCAUCGAUCAGUAGCUGGUCUGAGAGGACGACCAGCCACACUGGGACUGAGACACGGCCCAGACUCCUACGGGAGGCAGCAGUGGGGAAUUUUGGACAAUGGGCGCAAGCCUGAUCCAGCAAUGCCGCGUGAGUGAAGAAGGCCUUCGGGUUGUAAAGCUCUUUUGUCAGGGAAGAAACGGUGAGGGCGAAUACCCUUUGCUAAUGACGGUACCCUGAAGAAUAAGCACCGGCUAACUACGUGCCAGCAGCCCGCGG